rnacentral:rRNA from 1 species
GAUGAACGCUGGCGGCGUGCCUAACACAUGCAAGUCGAACGAAUUGCUUUAAAGGAAGUUUUCGGAUGGAAUUUAAAGUAGUUAGUGGCGGACGGGUGAGUAACGCGUGGGAAACCUGCCCUAUACAGGGGGAUAGCCUCGGGAAACUGGGAUUAAUACCCCAUAAAACUCUAGUAUCGCAUGAUACAUGAGCCAAAGAUUUAUCGGUAUAGGAUGGUCCCGCGUCUGAUUAGCUAGUUGGUGAGGUAACGGCUCACCAAGGCGACGAUCAGUAGCCGGCCUGAGAGGGUGAACGGCCACACUGGAACUGAGACACGGUCCAGACUCCUACGGGAGGCAGCAGUGGGGAAUAUUGCACAAUGGGGGAAACCCUGAUGCAGCGACGCCGCGUGAGCGAAGAAGGCCUUCGGGUCGUAAAGCUCUGUCCUAAGGGAAGAAACGGACGGUACCUAGGAGAAGCCCGCUAACUACGUGCCAGCCGCCGCGGUAAUACCGACAUAGUAAGU